ACCCUACUGCUAUCGGGGUGGGACUAAGACAUGCGAGUCGUGCGUCUCUAAGCUAUGGUAGAGACGCGGCGUACGGCUCAGUAACACGUGGCUAACCUACCCUUGGGACGGAGACAACCCCGGGAAACUGGGGCUAAUACCCGAUAGGUGAAGAGGCCUGGAAUGGUUCUUCACCGAAAAGACGUUGAAACCAUGCUUUUCAACGUUGCCUAAGGAUGGGGCCGCGCCCGAUCAGGUUGUUGGUGGGGUAACGGCUCACCAAGCCUUUGACCGGUACGGGCCGUGAGAGCGGGAGCCCGGAGAUGGGCACUGAGACAAGGGCCCAGGCCCUACGGGGCGCAGCAGUCGCGAAAACUCCGCAAUGCGCGAAAGCGUGACGGGGCUACCCCGAGUGUCGUCCGCUGAGGAUGACUUUUCCCUGGUGUAAGGAGCCGGGGGAAUAAGGAGAGGGCAAGUCUGGUGUCAGCCGCCGCGGUAAUACCAGCUCUCCGAGUGGUAGGGACGAUUAUUGGGCUUAAAGCGUCCGUAGCCGGCCCAGCAAGUCUCCCGUUAAAUCCAGCGACCUAAUCGUUGGGCUGCAGGAGAUACUGUUGGGCUAGGAGGCGGGAGAGGCCGACGGUAUUCCCGGGGUAGGGGUGAAAUCCUAUAAUCCCGGGAGGACCACCAGUGGCGAAGGCUGUCGGCUAAAACGCGCUCGACGGUGAGGGACGAAAGCUGGGGGAGCGAACCGGAUUAGAUACCCGGGUAGUCCCAGCUGUAAACGAUGCGGGCUAGGUGUUGGGGUGGUUACGAGCCACCUCAGUGCCGCAGGGAAGCCAUUAAGCCCGCCGCCUGGGAAGUACGGCCGCAAGGCUGAAACUUAAAGGAAUUGGCGGGGGAGCACCACAAGGCGUGAAGCUUGCGGUUU
rnacentral:rRNA from 1 species